rnacentral:misc_RNA from 1 species
UGGCGAUCAGGCGCGGUGCUG